UGUCUGAUGCCACGUCUUUGGUAGUUACAUGCUCUAACCAAAGAUGCUAAUUGGACCAAAAUCAAUAGUGAUUUUUAUUUGUUUCGCAUUUUGAUAGGAAUCUGCUUAUCUUAUUUACUGUGAUUUUGCAUAGCCAAUUUGUGUGAUUACAUUU